rnacentral:lncRNA from 12 species
CCGGCUCUCUCCGGCUCCUGCCUCCUCCUCCUGCUCCUCUUACCGGUGGUACAAGCUCCUCCGUCACUGCUUUCGUUCGCGGCCCGGAUCUCGCUGGAGUUUUAUUCUCUCCCCCACGUAACACACCGCGUCAAACUACACCUCCGCCGCGUCACUCACCAACACUCCGCUUCUCCCAGCCGCCCGGGCCACAGGCAGCAGCAGCCGCCGCCGACUGAGGAGCCGCAGCCAGGGAGCCAGCCAGCGCCGCCCAGUGCCGAGUGCGCAGCGGCCGCGCACGGAAACAGCCGAGCCCGGCCCGGAGGAGCUCGAGCGGCCCCGCCCCCCCGCGCCGCAGGCGGAACUUGCCGAAGGCCUUCGGGCGCCUCCGGCCGAGCGGGGUGGCGGCCGGGGUUCGCGAGCGGAGCGGCGCGGGAGGCGUGGCCCGAGCCCCACCUCGCGGGCCGCGCGGCUGCAGCCCCGCGGCGGAAAUCGGCGGCAGGAAGGCGGCUUCGCGAGUGUGGCCCGCUGGGGGAAUUCCCCGGGGGUGUCGGCGGCUGGGUGGAAACCCCCCGCGGCUGCCUGCCCCCCCCCGCCCCCGUCCCCUGCGGCGGGCCCGGCCUGAGCCCCGGGAACUUUGGAAGGCUGCGGGGCCGCGGCCGAGCGAGCCGGGAGGAGGGGCGGCGGGGGCUCUGCAAUCGUCCCGGAGCCUGCGGGCUCGGGGCGGCGGGGGCUCUGCAAACGUCCCGGAGCCUGCGGCCUGCGGGCCGGGGCUCGGGGCCCCGCGCUGCCCGCGCCGAGGGGCGCCCGGGAGGGGAGGGUUUGCGCGGCCCCGCGGCCCCUCCUCUCCGAGAGUCAGCGCGGGGAGACCUGGGGGCCGCCCGCCCGGCUCCUCCACCUCGGGGCGUGCGGGGGCGGGGGCCCCGGGGCGCCUUGCGGGGUGCAGCCCGGCGGCCCAGCGGCCGGGGCGGUGGAGGACCCGGUCCGCCCUCGGGGGCCUCCGAGCGAGGACCGGUCCUGACCGAGGUUGCUCUGGGACCCUCGAAGUAUGACCCCCCCCCCCCCCCGCCCUCAAUCCCCAACUGGCCGGCGGGCCGCCUUUUUUUUUUUUUUUUUUUUUUCUUUUUUUCCUGGCACCGCCGGGUCGCUGGCUCUUCAGCGCCGUUUCCCCCUCUGGUUUGCACCCACGGCGCCCGUUUCUUCACCACCCACUCCCACUCCAAAGCCGACAGUGUGACUAACGUUCCCUCGACUACUGAAACUGCUUUCUCAGAGGUUGCCCAAGGCCACGAUUCUGACUCUUUUUUUUUUUUCCUUUUUAAAGACUUUAUUUAUUUAUUCAUGAGAGACACAGAGAGAGAGCGGCGGAGGCAGAGACACAGACAGAGGGAGAAGCAGGCUCCACGCAGGGAGCCCGACGUGGGACUCGAUCCCGGGACCCCAGGAUCAUGCUCCGGGCCGAAGGUGGCGCUAACCCCCCUGAGCCACUCAGGGACCCCCUGA